rnacentral:rRNA from 1 species
UACAGAGGUCCCAAGCGUUGUUCGGAUUCACUGGGCGUAAAGGGUGCGUAGGUGGCCAGGUAAGUUUGGUGUGAAAGCUCGGAGCUUAACUCCGAAAAGUCAUUGAAUACUAUCUGGCUGGAGGGUCGGAGGGGAGACUGGAAUUCUCGGUGUAGCAGUGAAAUGCGUAGAUAUCAAGAGGAACACCAGUGGCGAAGGCGAGUCUCUGGACGACUCCUGACACUGAGGCACGAAAGCUAGGGGAGCAAACAGG